rnacentral:rRNA from 1 species
UACAGAGGUGGCAAGCGUUGUUCGGAAUUACUGGGCGUAAAGGGCGAGUAGGUGGCCAUCUAAGUCAGAUGUGAAAUCCCCGGGCUUAACCUGGGAAUGGCAUUUGGGACUGCAAGGCUUGAGUGCGGCAGAGGGGACUAGAAUUCCUGGUGUAGCAGUGAAAUGCGUAGAUAUCAGGAGGAAUACCGAUGGCGAAGGCAGGUCUCUGGGCUGACACUGACGCUCAUGCACGAAAGCGUGGGGAGCAAACAGG